CAUGAAAAGCCAUGCAGUUUUUUCUUAAUCACUGCAAUAUUUACUCUUGGAGUCCUAAGCCACAUGUAAGUAGUCCAACUACUCUGAGGUCACAAUGUCCAAACCCACAUGCAGAGGCCAUGUGCAGGCCCUCUGGCUCAUUAUCCCACGUGAGCCCAGCUUUUACGUCCUUUUACCCCAGGUACUAAACCUAUGAGCCAAGAAAGCGAUAUUUGACCUGUCUGAUACGGUAGAUACUAGCCACAUGUCACACGUGGCUUUUUAAAUUCACAUUAAUAAAAAUUAAAUAAGAUUAAAAGUACAGAGCCUCAGUAUUACUAACCAUAUUUCAAAUGCUCACUAGCCACGUGUGACUAUUUUAUAGCCAACAUACAUAGGGGAUAUUUCUAUCAUUGCCUAUCAUUGACAUUUCUAUGUAUUUCUCAGCUCCGCCUUAGAUAAGUUCAGCCCCUGGUCACUUGAAUUGCCCCCAGUUGUUCAUAACUUUCUGGCUAAAGGCUUAGACAUUCUGGAACAAAAAGAAGCCAUCCCUGCUAUGUCUUGAACAAAACCCUAACCUACAGAAUCUUUAAGUGAAUUAGUCUAUUCUUGCAUUGCUAUAAAGAAACACCUGAAACUGGGUUUCUGUAAGAGGUUUAAUUGGCUCAUGGCUUCACAGGCUGUACAGGAAGCAUGGCGGCAUCUGUUUCUGGGGAGGCCUCAGGAAAUGUAUAAAGAUGGCGGAAGGCAAUGGGGAAAUCAGAUACAUCUUCACAUGGUUGGAGCAGGAGGAAGAGAAAGAUGGGGGAGGUGCCUUACACUUUCAAACAACCAAAUCUUGUGAUAACUCACUCACUCACUAUUGCCACACCACCACCAAGGGGGAAACUGCCCCCCAUAAUCCAAUCACCUCCCACCAGGCCCCACCUCCAACAUUAGGGGUUACAAUUCAAUAUGAGAUUUGGGCGAGGACAGAAAUUCAAACCAUAUCAACAAGCACAAUAAAAUGGCUGUUAUUUUACACCAUGAAGUUUCUGGGUGAUUUUAUUAUGCAGCAAUAGAGCAUCAGAAUAGAAUUAUUUAGCAUAUGAAUGGUAUCAAUAUUUUGUCAUUUCUAAUUUCCAUGUCUGUUUUUCUCUUCUAUCCCAAAUAAAGGUAUCCAUAGCAUCUUUAUUUUCCUCAGUGUAAGGGGAACUUGUAUAAAUUUUCUAUAAUUUUUUCAUACGUUGAGCUGAACUUAAUCUUAAUUCUGAUGAGGUCAAACCAGGAAAGGCCAAUUAGUCAUGUUCUUUGUGUAAUGCAACUGCUGCAUUUCCCUCCCAAAGUAGCUAGUCCAAAAUUUAGUGACAUUCAAAACCAAUGGAGAUAUAAUAUAGGCCUAAGAGGAGUCAAAGAAAUGAAUGAGUUGGACAGCCCACCAAAAGAUACACCCUAGGUAAAUUCACAAAGAAAACUCCAUGACUAAAAGAAAGGCUAAUUGUGAUAGGCAAACAUGAAAUGCAAACAAAACUGAAACUGAAAUAAACAAAGGGAAAUUCAGGAAAAUAUUAUAUGCUGAAAAAGGGUUAUUUUAUUUGUCUUAUUGAAUAUCUUCUUUGUUCCAGCCCUCUAGGAGGUGGGAUGAAGCAUUAAAUACAACUAUUUUUAAAUGCCCUUAAUAAGUUGACAUUCUGAAAAGAUGAACUCUAAACAUAUAACUAAUAAAAUAUAUAUCAUACAGAUAUAAAAUAUAGUUUAUAAGAAGUUGCAAAUAUAAGUAGAGAGGGUCAAUAGAAAGCAUGUCAGAAGAGGGGUUGAAAUUUUAAAUAAGGUGCUUAGGGAAGGACUCAUUGAGAAGGUGAUGUCUGAACAAAGACCUAAAGUAGGUAAAGAAAUUAUCCAUGUUUUGUCUGGGUAAAGUACAUUCCAGACACACGGAACAGCAUUAUCAGUGUGCUAACAUUGGAUGUACCUAGUGUGUCUGAGGAAGAACAAGGAAAGCAGUGUGACUGUUGCGGAGAUGAGAGAGUGAGACCACUAAGAGUGAAGUCUCAGAAAGAAGAGGCAUGUGCCCAGAAGGCAGCACAUACAGUCAAAAGAGAUUAUUUUAGAACGUUAAUAUUUAACGCCUGCCCUGCUGUGUUUUGUACUUGCGUGGUGCCUACUGCUCCUCUCUUGUGGCUGAUUUCUCCCUUUUGGAAUGAGAAUGUCUAUCCAAUGCCUGUACAACAACUGUAUCUUGGAAGGAAAUAAAUUGUUUUUUAUUUCACAGGCUCAUAGCUGGAAGGAACUUGACUUCCAGUCUCAAAUGAGACUUUGGACUUCAGACAUUUGAAUUGAUGCAGCAACGUGUUAAGAAUUGGGGGACUAUUGUUGGGAUGGAAAGAUUACAUUUUUUUUUAUGUGAGAAGGACACGAGUUUUCAGGGGACCAAGUCAGAAUGCUAUGGUUUGUACACGGUUUGUUUGUCCCCAUCAGAACUCAUAUUGGGAUUUGAUCCCCAAAGUAGUGGUGUUGGGAGGUUGAGCUUAGUGAGAAGUGUUUGAGUCAUAGGGUUGGUUCCCUCAUGAAUGCCUUGGUACCAUUUUCAAUGUAGUGAGUGAGUUCUCACUCUCACAAGACUGAAUUUGUUCUAGGGGAAUGAGUUGUUUUUCAUGAGAGUGAAUUGUUAUAAAGCCAGGAUGCCCCUUUGGUUUAUUCUCUCUUCACAUGUGCCCGCUUCUGCUUUGACCUUCUCCACCAUGGUUUGACCCAGCACAAAAGCUCUCAGCAGAAACUAAGCAGAUGCUAAUGCCAUGCUUCUUGUACAGCCUGCGGAACCAUGAACUAAAUAAACCUCUUUUAUUUAUAAAUUACUCAGCUUCAGGUAUUCCUUUAUACCAACACAAACAGACCAAGAAAUUGAGGAAUAAUAUUUAUAAAAUUAUUUCAGUGAAUUAAAUUAGAUAAAAUGGACAAAUUCCCUGAAAGAAAUUACUGAAUCAGGCACACAAAGAAAUAGAAAAUCUUAGUGUCUAUUUUUAAAAAUUGAAUUCUUAAUUUAAAACUUUCACACAAAGCAAGGGAUGACCUGAAUGUUUAUUUUCAUCACAUAUUUAAGAAGAAAAAAAUACCAACCUACAUAAAUUUUUCAACAAAGUCUCAUAAAGGUUAACUCUGUGAGCUUUAUUUCAAGAAGGAAAGUGGGAAUCUACCAGAAUCAUAAGGACACACAGAUCCCAGGGAGGGGAACAUGGGCAAACAGCCCCCAUGAUGGCACCCAGUUAAAAAAGUGAAUGAAGCUCCAGUAGGUGAGAGAGGCAGAGAGCCUCCCUCUGUGACUCACCUUUCCACUGGGGAUCUGAGCAACCCAGUGCUCAGAGGGAAGAGUACCUUGUUUCUCCAAAGCCCUGGAGAUAACUUGGAGAAAGGCUUAGAGACAUUGUAAGGGAAAGACACUGGGAAAAGGUUCAGGCCUUUUCUCAGACCCAGGACUGAGAGCAGGAUACCAUUUUUAAUUCAGAUGCCACAAAGUCAAUCAUUCUUUGGUAACUAAGCAGCGUAGCUGUGCAGGCAUUUUAGUCUUGGGCCAGAUAUUGGAGCACCUGCUUUAGAGCAGGGUGGGGACCUCCAUGGCCAGAAUUGUGGGGAAAAAAAACCUUAGCAGCAAACACUGAAACUGUGCUAUCCCCCAUCACAGGCCUGGGGCAGAACUCUAGAUAUCUGAAGCACCCAUU
rnacentral:lncRNA from 10 species